rnacentral:lncRNA from 1 species
UUAAACUUUAAAAAUUCCCUCCAAAAAUCAAGUGAAUUUCCAAAUGAUCAUAUGAUGAUAAUGCAUGUCAUGUAAUGCAAGAUUUGGAAAGUAGAAGUCAAGAGAAGAAUGUACAAAAAAGAGCCACUUGAAUUGGAGCUUUGGUUGAGAAGUUAUGCACAUUUGAAUCUUCAAGUACACUUUGCCAUGAUUUGAUCAUAUCUCCUUAACCACACAUGAGAGAUUGAUGAUCUUGGACUUUUUGGAAAUGGGAG